rnacentral:rRNA from 1 species
GACGAGCGCUGGCGGCGUGCUUAACACAUGCAAGUCGAGCGGUAAGGCCCUUUCGGGGUACGACGAGCGGCGAACGGGUGGAGUAACACGUGGGUGACCUGCCCUCAGCUCUGGGAGUAAGCCUGGGAAACGUGGGUCUAACACUGGAUAUGACUCCACGGUGCAUGUCGUGGGGUGGAAAGCCUUGUGCGGCUGAGGAUGGGCCCGCGGCCUAUCAGCUUGUUGGGGGGGUGA